GUAUAUGAUUUCGUAUAAAGAGAAAAUAGAUUUAAAGCAACAUUUGCAUAAAUAUUUUAACAUUCCUCAUGUUCUUAAGUAUUACAUUAUUUGUAAUGUUUUUAAUUAUACCAUAAGUAUCGAAAAUUUAUAGUUGUAAGAAACAUAAGAAAAUUUCUGUAUUUUGACAAUAUUUAUACCAUUUUUAUAUAAUUAGUGUGAACACAAUAAAAAAUUCAAAGGAUUUAUAUAGGUACAUAAGUACAUACUCGAAUGAUUUGCGCCAACAUCUUUUUAUGUUUAUUCCUAGUUUAUUAACAAGCAUCAAAUGUAUGUUACAUAUCUGUCUGUGCAAAAGAUGCAUUCAACAUUACAUUUGUAAAAACAUAUGUAAUUCAAUGAUACAUGCAUACAUAAAUGCAUAUGUAUGUAGGCAUUUCCAAGGAAACUGCAAUAUACAGGGAUGUGACUCCCCAUCACUUGCAUAUAAAUGUUUCUAGAAACUAAGGUUUUGAGAAUUCCUAUUGGUACUUUGUAAUUCCCUUUUGUAACUUAAUGCAUAUAGGUUGGUAUCCUGUAAUAGGUCACUUUGAAUUUGAAUCGUUAAAGAAAACGGUUACUGUAUGCAUGUACAAGAAAGUGUAAAUGUAAAGCACUAAUCAUGUAAAAAACGAAUCAUGUCUACUAAUAUAGAAGAAAUUUGCCAAAUUUUGUAUGAAUGUAAUUUGUAUGAUAAAAGUUAUGAAGAAGGAUUUGGUUUGAUUGAAAAUAAUUCUAUAGAUGAUGUGAAGAAAGAUAUUGAAAAAUUGUUUGCAAAUGUACAGUGUAACAUAGGAAGUGUUGAAUAUGCAAAUUUAAAUAAAAUGUUGGCUGUUUGUUAUUUAAAGAUAAAUAAUGAACUGAAAGCUAUAUGUCACCUAAUUGAGUCGCAUGCAGUGAUACUUCGUCAGCAUAUACUGCACAGAUAUGUAAAAACAGAGAUGCGUGAGUCAAUUUUAAAUUCACAGCAGGUUUAUGGACUUAAAUCUUCUUAUGUUGAAUUCAACAUAAAUAAUACAAAUAAUGUAGAUAAUUUAACAACAAUGCUCUGUGAUCUCCCUAAAGAAUGGUAUGUAAUUCAAAUCACUAGCCAGUACAAGCCUCCAAGUAUUUCUGAAUAUAACAAAACAUUAAAUCCAAUGCACGAGAUACAUCUUACCAUAUUACCAACAGGAACUGAGAAAACAAAACCAAUAUGUAUAACAUUACCAAAACCUAAAUUAGAUUCUUCAUAUGAUAUCUGUUACGAAAUUCAGAAGUUGCUUUCUAGUAAUAGAUCAGAACUUGAAGCUACUUAUACAAACAGUGAAUUGUAUUGGAAAAUGAGAGGGAGGCAAAACAUAAGUAUGAAGACUGCUAUACAAGCAUUAGAACAUUCAUGGUUACGAGAAUGGAGAGUUUUGUUUAUGGCAGAUCCGAUAGACAAACAGGAUUUAGUAAUGGACAUUUCACAAAUGAUUGAUAAACUUAUAUCUGGUUGUAGAAGAUCGAAAAAUAUGCCGGAAAGGUCUAGAUGGUUGUUAAGAAAAAUUGCACUAGCAGCAUGUUUUCUUACAAGGGAAGAAAUAGCCCGUGCGGUAAUGUAUGUGCUACCCGAUCAUGACAGACUUGCUAAGAAUGUUAUAUUGUCUAUAUAUGGAAAAUUAUCUUGUAUAGAAGAAUUGAAAGAUGCAAUUAGAAAAACAUUAGUGUUGAUUGUUGAUGAACACAUGGAUUAUAUACCUUUUGAAUCUAUGGAAAUUUUAAAAUGUCAUCCUGUUACUCGUUUUCCAUCACUGCAUAUUGCAUAUGCUUUAUUUAAAGAACAUGAAAGUACAAUGGAAAAUGGCUGUAAGAUAAUUAAAGUUAAAAAUGAUAUGGGUACCUGUAUAGUCAAUCCAUCAGGUAAUUUGAUUAAAAUGGAAAAACGUAUGAGAUUGUUCAUUGAAUAUUGGCUACCACAAUGGAAAAGCUGGUAUAACGUUGAACCUCGAGAAGACGUUUUUGAAGAUGCAUUAAUUAAUCAUGAUAUAUUAAUGUAUAAUGGCCAUGGUAAUGGAAUGCAAUACUUACCAGGAGAACAAAUUGAAAAACUAAGGGUGAAAUCAAUUGUUUUAUUAUUUGGCUGUAGUAGUGUAAAAUUACUUACAGUAGGAGGACGUUAUCCUCCGUAUGGCAUUUCAAAUCAAUACUUAAUAGCUAUCCGUGUGUACUUGGUAUGUUGUGGGAAGUUACAGAUGCGGAUAUCGAUAAAAUGACUACAAAUUUUAUUAGUAACUGGAUUCCAUCACCGCUAAAUAGACCGUGGACUGAUGUAGAUAUCAAUAUGUGGUGUGCGGGUACUUUAAAAUUUUUAAAAAAUACACCAAAAAGCACACAAAACGUGCCUAUAGAACCUGAGAUGUUAAGGGCAGUAGCAAAAUCCAAAAAUGUCUGUUCUCAAUACAUGACUGCAGCUGCGAUAGUAGUACGAGGACUACCAGUAAAG